GGCGGGCGGAGGGCCGAAAACCCAGUAUGUGGGGCCAGGGUCACUUUUCUAGAGCUUCUGCAACGGAAAGUGUGAGUUUUUCAGGAGUUGUUCAAAUGGAUGAAGAUACACAUUACGAUAAAGUGGAAGAUGUGGUUGGAAGUCACAUAGAAGAUGCAGUAACAUUUUGGGCCCAGAGUAUCAGUAGAAAUAAGGAUAUCAUGAAGAUUGGUUGCUCACUGUCUGAAGUUUGCCCCCAGGCCAGUUCAGUUUUGGGGAAUCUUGACCCAAACAAGAUUUAUGGUGGAUUAUUUUCUGAAGAUCAGUGUUGGUACAGAUGCAAAGUACUGAAAAUCAUCAGCGUUGAAAAGUGUCUGGUGAGGUACAUUGACUAUGGAAAUACUGAAAUUCUAAAUCGAUCUGAUAUAGUUGAAAUUCCUUUGGAGCUGCAGUUUUCUAGUGUUGCCAAAAAGUAUAAACUUUGGGGACUACACAUUCCUUCUAAUCAAGAAGUUACCCAGUUUGAUCAGGGCACAACCUUUUUGGGGAGCUUGAUUUUUGAAAAGGAAAUAAAAAUGAGAAUUAAAGCAACCUCUGAAGAUGGAACAGUUAUUGCUCAGGCUGAGUAUGGCAGUGUGGAUAUAGGGGAAGAGGUAUUUAAGAAAGGAUUUGCAGAGAAAUGCAGACUUACUUCCAGAACUGACAUCUGUGAGGAAAAAAAAUUGGAUCCUGGUCAACUUGUUCUUGGGAACCUCAAAAGCCCCAUUCCUUUGUGGGGGCAUAGAUCAAACCAGUCAAACUUCAGCAGGCCCAAGGGGCACUUAAGUGAGAAAAUGACUCUUGACUUGAAGGAUGAAACUGAUGCAGGCAAUCUUAUAACAUUUCCAAAGGAAAGUUUGGCUGUUGGUGACUUUAAUUUAGGGUCUAACGUCAGCCUGGAAAAAAUUAAGCAGGACCAGAAACUGAUUGAAGAAAAUGAAAAACUUAAAACAGAGAAGGACGCUCUUCUUGAAAGUUAUAAGGCAUUAGAAUUGAAAGUAGAGCAGAUUGCGCAGGAGCUGCAGCAAGAGAAGGCAGCUGCUGUGGAUUUGACUAACCACUUAGAAAGCACUCUGAAGACCUGUAUAGAUACCAGAAUGAAAAAUCUGGCAGCUAAGAUGGAAAUACUGAAAGAAAUGAGGCAUGUCGGCAUCAGUGUCCGUUUUGGAAAAGACCUUUCAGAUGCUAUACAAGUGUUGGAUGAAGGGUGCUUUACUACUCCAGCUUCUUUGAAUGGAUUAGAGAUAAUAUGGGCAGAAUACAAUCUGGCUCAGGAGAAUAUUAAAACUUGUGAAUAUGUGAAUGAAGGGAAUAUUUUGAUUGCCCAAAGAAAUGAAAUGCAGCAGAAGCUGUACAUGUCAGUAGAAGAUUUUAUUCUGGAAGUUGAUGAGUCAUCUCUUAAUAAACGCUUAAAAACGUUGCAGGAUUUGUCAGUCUCUUUAGAAGCAGUGUAUGGACAAGCCAAAGAAGGAGCAAAUUCUGAUGAAAUACUUAAAAAAUUUUAUGACUGGAAGUGUGAUAAAAGAGAGGAGUUCACCAAUGUUAGAAGUGAAACAGAUGCUUCUUUGCAGCGUCUUGUAGCAUGGUUCCAAAGAACCUUAAAGGUUUUUGACCUAUCUAUGGAAGAAUCACUGAUUUCAGAAGACGCAAUGGAUAAUAUUGAUGAAAUCCUAGAGAAGACUGAGUCAAGUGUGUGCAAAGAGCUGGAGAUAGCUCUGGUUGAUCAAGGUGAUGCAGACAAGGAGAUAAUUUUAAAUACAUAUAGUCAAGUACUGCAAAAGAUUCGUUCAGAGGAAAGGCUCAUUGCCACAGUACAAGCUAAGUACAAGGACAGUAUUGAGGUUUGAUUGUGCUUUCUCUUAUUGAUCUUAUAAAUUGAUGCUUUGAAUUUUUCAGUACUUAAAUUUUUCUCUUGUUGUUUAAUACUCAGUGUCAGUAAAUUAUCUAUUAUUAUUAGAAUUCACUAUCAACUGGAAAUGGUGAUUUUUAAUGAUAUAAAUAUAUCAAAUUUUUUAUUGUUUUAAAAAUUUUAUUUUCUUAUGUCCAUGAGAACCAUAAUCUUUAACAUCAUUUUCUUUUUGCCUGUAUAAGUCUACUGUAGAUAAUUUGCUAUAUACAGAAAGAUAAGAAAUAAAACAUUGCUUGUAAUUCCCUUAGCCUAAGAGAUAGUUUUAGAGUAUUUACUCACUGGAUGUGCAUCUGUAUGUUUGUGAGCAUAUAUAUAUGCAUUGCAUUGUUUUUUAAGUUACUUCAAACAUACUUUCUUCCUUUAAUGGUAUAUUAUGAACAUUUUUCUAUAUGAUUUUUCUAUACUGUCAUCUUGAGUGACUAAAUCCUCAUCCCUAUGUAGAUGUACAACAUUAACCUUUCAUGUGUGUUGGACAUUAAGAUUACUUCCAAUUUUUCCUACCAUAAAUAACACUGUACAUAUGUUCGUGCAUAAUUUUUUGUUUUUAUUUCUCAGAUUUCUAAAUUCCAUAAUUACUGAGUUAAAAGGAAUGGACAUUAUUAAAACUUGAUACAUAUUUUCAAACCACUUUUGGGAAAGAUGAUUUCAGUUUACAUGCUCACUAGAAAUUCCUUUUUCAUCCAUACUAACAAUGUGUGUUUUAUUGUAUGUCUCAGUUUGAAAUAUUACUUUUGUCUUUGCUACUUUGAGUGCUGGAACUGAUAUUCUUCUAAAUAGAAACAUGGAUAAAAAGGAAAUCUAUUGAAUUGUCUUGUUGAAAAUUAUAGAUUUUCUAAGUAUCUCAAUCUGAACUCAGUACAUGCUAGGUGAAUCUUAACAGAGAAAUAAUAAAUGAUCACUGUUCAAUAAAUAUUUUUCUUAUGUGUUUGAAAAUACAUAACUUUUGUUUACUUAGUUUAAAAAGCAGCUUAUUGAAUAUUUAAAUAAGAGUCCCAGUGUGGAUCACUUGCUAUCCAUUAAGAAGACAUUGAAAAGCUUAAAAGCUCGACUCAGAUGGAAAUUGGUUGAAAAAAAUAAUUUGGAAGAGUCAGAUGAUCCUGAUGGCUCUCAAAUUGAGAAAAUAAAAGAAGAAAUAACUCAGCUGCGCAAUAAUGUCUUUCAAGAAAUUUAUCAUGAGAGAGAGGAAUAU
rnacentral:sRNA from 1 species